rnacentral:rRNA from 1 species
GACGAACGCUGGCGGCGUGCCUAAUACAUGCAAGUCGAACGCAGUGGGGACGGGUGAGUAACACGUGGGUAACCUCCCAUCAGAGGGGAUAACACUUGGAAACAGGUGCUAAACCGAUACUGAUGGAUGGACCCGCGGUGCAAUAGCUAGUGGGUGGGGUAACGGCGCACCAAGGCCACGAUGUAUAGCAGACAUGAGAGGUGGAUCGGCCACACUGGGACUGAGACACGGCCCAGACGCCUACGGGAGGCAGCAGUAGGGAAUCUGCGGCAAUGGACGAAAGGCUGACCGAGCAACUCCGCGUGAGUGAAGAAGGUUUUCGUAUCGUAAAACUCGGUGGUUAGAGAAGCGGUAUCUAACCAGAAAGCCACGGCUAACUACGUGCCAGCAGCCGCGGUAAUUC